rnacentral:rRNA from 1 species
AUUGAACGCUGGCGGAAUGCUUUACACAUGCAAGUCGAACGGCAGCGGGGGCUUCGGCCUGCCGGCGAGUGGCGAACGGGUGAGUAAUGCAUCGGAACGUGCCCAUGUCGUGGGGGAUAACGUAGCGAAAGUUACGCUAAUACCGCAUACGAUCUACGGAUGAAAGCGGGGGAUCGCAAGACCUCGCGCGAUUGGAGCGGCCGAUAUCAGAUUAGGUAGUUGGUGGGGUAAAGGCUCACCAAGCCAACGAUCUGUAGCUGGUCUGAGAGACGACCAGCCACACUGGAACUGAGACACGGUCCAGACUCCUACGGGAGGCAGCAGUGGGGAAUAUUGGGCAAUGGAGGAAACUCUGACCCAGCGACGCCGCGUGAGGGAUGAAGGCC